UACGGAGGGAGCUAGCGUUGUUCGGAAUUACUGGGCGUAAAGCGCACGUAGGCGGCUACUCAAGUCAGAGGUGAAAGCCCGGGACUCAACCCCGGAACUGCCUUUGAAACUAGGUGGCUAGAAUCUUGGAGAGGUCAGUGGAAUUCCGAGUGUAGAGGUGAAAUUCGUAGAUAUUCGGAAGAACACCAGUGGCGAAGGCGACUGACUGGACAAGUAUUGACGCUGAGGUGCGAAAGCGUGGGGAGCAAACAGG
rnacentral:rRNA from 1 species